CCUACGGGCGGCAGCAGUGAGGAAUAUUGCGCAAUGGACGAAAGCCUGACGCAGCGACGCCGCGUGAGGGAUGAAGGUCUUCGGAGCGUAAACCUCUGUCAGCAGGGAAGAACGGUCACUGUGCUAAUCAGCAGUGAAUUGACGGUACCUGCAAAGGAAGCACCGGCUAACUCCGUGCCAGCAGCCGCGGUAAUACGGAGGGUGCGAGCGUUAAUCGGAAUUACUGGGCGUAAAGCGCUCGUAGGCGGUAUGUCAAGUCAAGGGUGAAAUCCCCGCGCUCAACGUGGGAACUGCCUUUGAAACUGGCAAACUGGAGUGUGUGAGAGGAUAGUGGAAUUCCAGGUGUAGGAGUGAAAUGCGUAGAUAUCUGGAGGAACAUCAGUGGCGAAGGCGACUAUCUGGCACAUAACUGACGCUGAGGAGCGAAAGCGUGGGUAGCAAACAGGAUUAGAUACCCCUGUAGUC
rnacentral:rRNA from 1 species